UACGAAGGGGGCUAGCGUUGCUCGGAAUCACUGGGCGUAAAGCGCCCGUGGGCUGAUCUUUAAGUCAGGGGUGAAAUCCUGGAGCUCAACUCCAGAACUGCCCUUGAUACUGGGGAUCUUGAGUCCGGAAGAGGUGAGUGGAACUCCGAGUGUAGAGGUGAAAUUCGUAGAUAUUCGGAAGAACACCAGUGGCGAAGGCGGCUCACUGGUCCGGUACUGACGCUGAGGUGCGAAAGCGUGGGGAGCAAACAGG
rnacentral:rRNA from 1 species